CCUACGGUCUGCAGCAGUGGGGAAUAUUGGACAAUGGGCGAAAGCCUGAUCCAGCCAUGCCGCGUGUGUGAAGAAGGCCUUCGGGUUGUAAAGCACUUUCAGUGGGGAAGAAAGCCUUGGGGCUAAUACCCUCGAGGAAGGACAUCACCCACAGAAGAAGCACCGGCUAACUCCGUGCCAGCAGCCGCGGUAAUACGGAGGGUGCGAGCGUUAAUCGGAAUUACUGGGCGUAAAGCGCGCGUAGGCGGUCUGAUAAGCCGGUUGUGAAAGCCCCGGGCUCAACCUGGGAACGGCAUCCGGAACUGUCAGGCUAGAGUGCAGGAGAGGAAGGUAGAAUUCCCGGUGUAGCGGUGAAAUGCGUAGAGAUCGGGAGGAAUACCAGUGGCGAAGGCGGCCUUCUGGACUGACACUGACGCUGAGGUGCGAAAGCGUGGGUAGCAAACAGGAUUAGAUACCCCAGUAGUC
rnacentral:rRNA from 1 species